CGUAAUAGCUCACUGGUCGAGUCGGCCUGCGCGGAAGAUGUAACGGGGCUAAACCAUGCACCGAAGCUGCGGCAGCGACACUAUGUGUUGUUGGGUAGGGGAGCGUUCUGUAAGCCUGUGAAGGUGUGCUGUGAGGCAUGCUGGAGGUAUCAGAAGUGCGAAUGCUGACAUAAGUAACGAUAAAGCGGGUGAAAAGCCCGCUCGCCGGAAGACCAAGGGUUCCUGUCCAACGUUAAUCGGGGCAGGGUGAGUCGACCCCUAAGGC
rnacentral:rRNA from 1 species